AUGAGGGGAGGGAAGGGAGGUCACUCUCAGCUUGGGAUGGGGCAGGGGCUUCUUGGAGGGCUUCUUGGAGGGCUUCCUGGAGGAGGAAGUAUUGCAGCUGGGCCUGGAUGGAGAGGCACCAGGGAAGGGAAGUCUGGGCAGAGUUUCACUAGGGGAUGAAUACAGGAGAGCAGAGCCAGAUGAGGUGGGUGGGGCUGGCCUGAUCUCACAGGCUUUGAAUGCCCAGCAGAGUGUUGACUUCAUUGUGGGGGAGCGGGGAGCCAUGGAGGGCUCUGAGUGGGUGGUUGGGGGGUGAAGGGGGCAGGACCACCAGGGGGAAAGGACAGGAGGGUCACUGUAGGGGCAGGAUGGGAGAGCGAUGGAGGAGGCUGUGGGGACACCCAGGUGGGAGAUCUGAGAGUCUGACGCAGGUUGGUGGCUGUGGGUGGCGAGCAGUGGACAGACAGAGGGCCUCCGAAGCAGGACAACCAGGCUCCAUGGGGCCCCUGAUCGGAGCCCUGAGCCCUCACCCGGCCCACCCACUGCCCAUCUCGGGCACUGACCUCUGCAGUGGGACCUCUUCCAGCAGCUCCUCCUCCUCCUCCCUGUGGAAACAGACGAAGCAGAAGGCUGGCACAUCCUCCACUCCACAGCCCAGGGGCCAGGCCGGAGGCAGCUCCAGGACGGGGCAAGGGUGGCUGGUGGUGGCCUCGGCAGCAUCGUCCCUCGCCUGGGCAGGGGUCCCCGAGCCAGUGUGCUCCAGGAUCCUCCGAUGCCACCUCCUGCCUGAUGCCACCUCCUGCCUGCGUCGGUGCAGCGCUCAGCAUAUGGAUCUUGGACAGUGCGCGCUGGCCACCCGAACCUGCCCUGCAUACCUCCAUAGAGCCUGGUAA
rnacentral:lncRNA from 1 species